GAGACUUUGAAGGCAUGUGCAAUUUAGGAUUGUACUCUUGGAUCUAUAGCCUAUAUAUCCAGGGUAUCAUCCACCAGGAACCAACAUGCACGUUGAUACCAUGUAAGCCUUCCUUGAUGUUUUGGAGAAAUGAGGCAUUAGAAGGGGCACUGAAUCCUACUGCGGAGUGAAGUUACAAUAAGCGUAUGCAUUUCUGGCCCAAUAA
rnacentral:lncRNA from 1 species